rnacentral:tRNA from 1 species
GGAGACGUGUCAGAGUGGUCUAAUGUACCUCUUUGCUAAAGAGGCGUGCGCUUUAAAACGCACCGAGAGUUCGAAUCUCUCCGUCUCCGCCA